CAGUCGCCACGGUAAUACGGAGGGGGCUAGCGUUGUUCGGAAUUACUGGGCGUAAAGCGUACGUAGGCGGCUUUGUAAGUUAGAGGUGAAAGCCUGGUGCUCAACACCAGAACUGCCUUUAAGACUGCAUCGCUUGAACGUCGGAGAGGUGAGUGGAAUUCCGAGUGUAGAGGUGAAAUUCGUAGAUAUUCGGAAGAACACCAGUGGCGAAGGCGGCUCACUGGACGACUGUUGACGCUGAGGUACGAAAGCGUGGGGAGCAAACAGGAUUAGAUACCCGUGUAGUCCCUGUCUCUUAUAC
rnacentral:rRNA from 1 species